AUUGAACGCUGGCGGCAUGCUUUACACAUGCAAGUCGAACGGGGUGAAGGGGCAACUCUUCAUUCAGUGGCGAACGGGUGAGUAAUGCAUCGGAACGUACCUCGUAGUGGGGGAGUAAACUCGGCGAAAGCCGUGCUAUACCGCAUAUGCUCUACGGAGGAAAGCAGGGACCUGAAGGCCUGUGCUAUGGGAGCGGCCGAUGUCCGAUUAGCUAGUGUGGGAAUGCCUACAGCGACGAUCGGUAGCUGGUCUGAGAGGAUGAUCAGCCACACUGGGACUGAGACACGGCCCAGACUCCUACGGGAGGCAGCAGUGGGGAAUAUUGGACAA
rnacentral:rRNA from 1 species